CGGGAGGGCAGCGCUCGGAGCAAACGCUGCCGGAUUUCCGAGGCACCGGCGUUUCGGUUUCGAUUCCCGGGAGUGGUUUGAGGCUGGAAGAGUUGAUGAAGAUGCUUAAACUAAAUCUUACUCCACUACUAGGAGAGCCCCUUCUACACUAGUGAAAUGGGUCCUUUUGUUAUAGCACAGCUAUUGCAAUAUUGAGCUUUAAGAGAGAAACUCAAAGGCUGCUGUCAGCAGAUACAAGCAAAGCUGGAUCGAAGCAAAUUUGGUGUCUGGUGUUCAAAGUAUGGGAAGAGCAAGUGAAAAUGAGGAAGCUGCUGCUUGGGAAUCCAUUAUCAAACAAAUGGGUUGACCAUCCUCCUGCCACUGAAAAUGAAGUGAAACAACUAAAGUUCUGGCAGCAGGAAUGGUCUGCAGUGCAGAACGAAGGAGGCAUCACAUGCAACUACCACAGCUAGUACCAUUUCCCUGUAAAUGAUUACCUGCUUGAACAACUAACAUUAGUGCCCUGUACAUAAUUCAUUUUGACUCAGAUCUGGUGCCUCUCCUACGGUGAAGUCAAAAGAAGUGAACUCAGAAAGGACAAAGAAGAAUCUCUGCUGGAUGCUGUGGUUUUAUGGAAUGAGGAUGUGCAGUGGAGAAAGUCUCCCAGUAUAUUUACAGACUGAUUUAAUGUCCAGAGUGGUUCCAGACCCCUGGUCUUAAAUGAACACGUGAUGAAUGGAGUUAAAACUUCACACACAGAUGAGAUAAAUGCCCAGAGACAAGCACCAGUGAGUUCAGGACACAAGGCACCAGGAAUCAUCAUUUGACACUUAGAAAUACCAUGGCAUUACUCUGUGGCUGGAAGUCAAUGAGUCAGCACAGAGCUGUGUGGUGGCGUGCAUCUCAAAGCUGUGUCUGUGCAGCUUCCUGAGAACAAGGAAGAAGUUCUCCAGAGAGUGUGUAGGUCAUGUAGAAGGAGCUGGAGGAGAGAUGUAUGGCUUCAUGGAGGACUGCCAAGAGGAAAUCAUGGUUCUCAAAGACAUCCUGCUAUUGCUGAAGUACAUCUCACACAGGUGACUGCAGAAAGGCUCAAAGUAGAAAGAGCAUUUUGAAAGGGUCUGUGGUCCUUACAGCUGCUUGUCAAACACCUGAAGCAGAGUGCAGCAUUUUGACGCCAUGACAAUAUUUGCCUCAGUUAUCCCUAAACUUUUUAAGCCACUAGAUCACUUCCAGCAUAAUGAUCUCAAGGACCCAGAGGUUGAAAUAAAAUACAACUCCAUCUUAUUGCUAGCAACCCAGUGCUCUGUUGUCUAUGCUAGAAGAUGACACUGCUGUCCGGGAGGUGUCUGGACCAGGGCAGGGGACCUCUAUCCAAGAACGGGAUGCAUCUUCCUAGACUACAGUCUGAACGUACACAAAACAAACCAGGAAUUAGGUUCUUCCAGAAAAAAGAAAAAAGAAGUUAAAUUAAAACAAAGCCAUCUCUUUUUGCAUUGCUUUUUAAAUGUAGAUGUGGGAAACUCCAGACCAAUGGACUAUCUUAUCAGCCUCUUCAGCAAUCCUUCUCCAAGGGAGGGAAGGUCAUUCUCAAAGGCUUAUCUGUAACAGAGGGUAGGCAUGCUGUUUUGGAGCUGAAGAGCCUGCUUCUGAGAGCAACCUUUGAGGUACAUUUUCUAAAGAGAAAUUUAUUGAUCAGAGACUCCCAUUUAUGCCUAAGGAUAAGAGCUCAAGAGCUCUUGCUUACAACCACAAGUCCCAAACUGAAGACAUGCUAGAGAAUCAAUCAGUUCUAUGCAUUGACUUAUUCUUUCACCCAUGCAGGAAUCCCCUGCUGCUUUUUUGCCUUGAUGUAUGCAAAGGCCUAUCUUCCUACAAGGAUAUUGCCAUUGUUGACACCUUUCUGUAGCCAGCAAUGCCUUUGUGCCACUCUGCUCUGUGAUCACACUGAGGAAGUCUCUCUGGGUAGCCUGGCAAAGGAAUUGGAUGAACACUGGAGCUUUGAAAAGAGCUGGACAAAAGAUAAUCUGGGACCCCACAGCUGGACUUUUCUCUGGAACUUGGUUAGGUCUCUGAAGGAAGAAGUAGACAGGGAUCAAGAGGAAGCUGUGAUUUGACUACAUGCUUGGUAAAGGCCAAAGAAGAAGGGACAGGGGCCCUUGCAUGACCUCCAAUGCCACAUUGCAUAGGGCUCUUGGGCUGCCCUGAGCCAAGGGCCCCAGCUGGGUGUCAGACAUGGGGUAAACUGGACUGGUUUUCCUCUCUCAAGGAACAACCCCUGAAAAACCCUUCUAUCCGCAGUGAUCCUCAGCAUGGCCUUUGGCCAACAGCCAAAGUCCGAGAGGCAUUUUGUUAUGGGGCUUAAGAACUUGCUUCCCAUCUCCUUUUCCCAAAUGCCCAGCAGAACUCCUCAGCAUUGGCCAUACUCACCUCUUCAAUGGGCAUCUUUCCGAGUGGUGAUAUCACUGCAUCUCCCUGGAGAGUUCUCAAGGAUGGCUGGACCUCUGUCUUUUUCAAAAAAAGGCUGUGUGCAGUCUCCAAGACAAAUACCCAGAUUCCUGUGCCCCAACUCUGACACUCCUUCUCCAGGAGGGCUCAGAGCCACCUCUAUCACCUUCUAAAAGAGAGGAAAACUUGUCCUGGUCUUGGGGCAUAUGGUUGCAGGAGAUUGAUCCAUCCUCCUGGAAGAGAAAGGACUUCAUGGUGAAGAAGUAUGAUGUCACCUCCUGAACUGAGAACAGUCUUGAACACUGUCACUCCAGCUUGACAAAAGCCAUUUGUGACAAGCUUCAUCUUGUGCUCUUCCCAGUUGUCCUCAUGUGAGCAGAACAUAAAAGAGCCUAAAUAAAAAGGCAGUCUGCAAAGUAGAUUGGCCACUUCAAAUUCAGACUGUUUCACUUGACGUUGAGAGCAGAAACUGUGCCAGCAAUGCUCAACAUCAGUUUGGCCAGCCAAGGCAUUGAGGCUUCUGGAGUUGACAGAAGCAUCUUCUGGCACUGUCUGAUGCAGCUGCCUUGUGCUAUCUUGAUAUGAGCCUCCAACACAGCUAGAAAAGGGAAGGACUUCCAAAAGGAGAGAGGAUCAGGAUCUGGUUUUCUAGGAAUUAGGCUCUCUACUGAUGGGAGCUCCUUGCACUUCCCCUACAAGGAAUUUCAGGUUUUCACCUCUCAGAUCUCAUUUGUGUCUCCAAGCUAUGUUUCAUGCCUGAGCCUGGAGGACUGUAUGUUCACUGGACUAUGAAACAAUCUGUUCAAUCAUGAAUUUAGAUGCAUUCUUUUUAUUGCCUUGGACAAGCACUUGAAUUGCUGGUUCAUUUUUGCUAGUUACUUAAGAGGAAUAAUGGAAACCCCCAAAGGACACAGUUCAUAUUACAGUGUGCCUAGGCUGCAAGAACGCUGUCCCAGGUUACCUCUAGAAACUGUAAGAUGGCAGCAGAGAUCUACACCUGUUCUUGCCUUUACCUAUGCCUUCUUUGCCCUCACGCCUAAAGAUUUAAAAAGCUGAGCACAAUAUUCAGCUUUGGAGUAUAUAAAAUAUUUUGAUCCAACAACAUCAGCAUGUUAACUGUAGUUUUGCUUUUUAAGCUAGGUAUGCAAAACAAAACAGCUACUACACACUUUAAUAUAUUAGCACAGUAACGGCAUGUAAAUAAAAGCACAGCUCCUACUAUUUCAUGCGUUAAGAUACACAUUAAAUUCAGUCAUUCAUCAGAUAAAUAUUGUUGAACUUUCUUUGUAUCAUAGCUAGAAAUAGCAGCAGAGAGCUUUUAUCAACAGCAAACUGUUAGGCCUUCUUGCAAGCCUCAUUGAAUCAUCUAAAGCACCCCUGAAAAUUACUCGACAGUUAUAUCAAAUAGUCUCAAAGAAUGAUAGAUAUUUGGCCACUUCUAAAGCUAAGUUACUUCCUACCUACAUUGAGAAUAAAUUUUUAAGAUACAGAUUUUUUUUUGAGCUCUGCAUUUCCUAAGGGCAUCUUAAAUUACAACUCAACAAUGACUGCAAAGCUGAACUUUCAUGUUUGCACAAUAUAUUUGGCUUUCAGUGAAAAA